rnacentral:rRNA from 1 species
GAUGAACGCUAGCGGCAGGCUUAAUACAUGCAAGUCGAGGGGCAGCAUGAAUGUAGCAAUACAUUUGAUGGCGACCGGCAAACGGGUGCGGAACACGUACACAACCUUCCUAUAAGUGGGGAAUAGCCCAGAGAAAUUUGGAUUAAUACCCCGUAACAUAAUGAUGUGGCAUCACCUUAUUAUUAUAGCUACGGCGCUUAUUGAUGGGUGUGCUGCUGAUUAGAUAGUUGGCGGGGUAAAGGCCCACCAAGUCUACGAUCAGUAGCUGAUGUGAGCGCAAGAACAGACACACGGGCACUGCGACACGGGCCCUACUCCUACGGGAGGCAGCAGUAAGGAAUAUUGGACAAUGGACGCAAGUAUGAUCCAGCCAUUCCGCGUGAAGGAUUAAGGUCCUCUGGAUUGUAAACUUCUUUUAUAAGGGACGAAAAAAAGGCUUUUCUAAGUCGUCUGACGGUACCUUAUGAAUAAGCACCGGCUAACUCCGUGCCAGCCGCCGCCGUAAAAC